CUCCUUUAUUGUAAAUGGGGAGGUCUCGCUCCAGGUGCUAACCCGCUCCCCGCGAAACGACGUGACCACAUUUUCACGUGUGUCGGGUAGUUCAAUUAUUUCAACAAUAUCAUCGCGUUUUGUAAUUCCAAACCCAACGAAGCGACGCACAAAGUAAGAAUUUCUUCAUUUGUACUUUCGCCAGAGGAGGAGGGCAGACACAUAGAAUGAGGUUGUUGAAGAAGAAGAAAAAGAAGCUUCCAGAUAAUCUCUGCUCCUAUGAUGCUGCUUGGCCUGCUGUGUUCAUCCAGCCCUGCACCUUGUUGUCUCGGAUUCUCCAGCAUCUGCAGUUCCUACUAUCUCAGCUUCCAGAUAAUGUUUGGCAACCUGCAAUAUGUUUCACCAAUCUUUCACUCCAUUGAUAUGGGAAACCAGACAUGACAUCAAACAGUCUGCAGCAAUUAUUAAAUGCCUCAUUUGAAACAUGAUGUCAGAAGUGUGAAGCUGAAAUUGAGUGAAUUCUCAGAGCUGGAGGCUACUGUAAGGAAAACAACGAGGAAGAAUUAAAACUACAAUCAGCAACCUUGAAUUACAGAGUCAAUCUGUAUGGUCAUGGACUUUCCACUCCCUGCUGCUAUGAAAAUAAAAAAAAGUUACACAUUAAAUAGAAUUGAACUUUCUUUCACUCUGUGCUAAAACUGUGAAAUAGCUUUGAAAUUUAGUAAAAUGACUAAGCAAGUAAGAGUGGCAACCCUGUUAUCAGUAUUUGAGAAUGUAUUGUACAAGUUAUAUUGCAGCCUGGAUCUCACUGAGAAGGCAACUGCAGAAUUGUAUAUGGCUUUUAAGAUGCACUUUGAACCCCAUAUUAUUGUCACUUAUGAAUGAUAUGUGUUCAACAUCAGAGCUCAGAACUAAAUCUUGACAAGGUGAAUGCUGUAGCAAAGAUUCAUUGAGCAAGUGAUAUGAAAGUAUUGCAAUGAUUUGUUGUAUUGUUGAACUUAGCAAAUAUUUUGCUUCAUUUGUCAUCAGUGUGAACAUCUAUUGAAGCUCACUGCUAAAUGUGUGCAGUGAUAUUGGGGAACAGAGCUAGAAGCAGCUUUCACAUGAAUCAAGAAACCAGUAGUAAUGGCUCAAUAUGCUCUUGACCUCUUUAACCCAGCAGAGACAUUGAAUCUGAAAGACAGGCAUCUGAUCAAACACUCACUAUGGGAAUGGCAUUGCCUGGGGCAGGAAUAUCACUUCAGGAAUAAGUAGAUACCAGAAAAACUCACGACAACUCACUUGCAUGUUAUUAAAAGACCUGAACACUUUAGAAGUAAUGGGGAAAUGCAUGUGCCAAGACUGAUGAAAAUGAUACAAAGUGGAAUUAUCACAGUUUUGUUCAGGAUUGAUUCUUCUUUUUUCAACAUGUAUAUAUUGGGUACAUAAACAGGAGUUGCUGGCAAAACUCAGCAGGUCUGGUACCAUCUGUGUGGAGAAAGCAGAGUUUACAUUUAAAUCCAGUGACUUUUCAUCAGAAUUGAUUGCAGCUAGGAAAAUGUGAUAUUUGUGCUGAAGACAUGAUAGGGGGCAAAGACAGAGACCAGAGAGAGAAGUGAUGAUGAGGGCUGAGCAUAGGAGAGAAUGGAUGAACUGUGCUGAACCCAACUCAUGUCAUGACAGGACCAGGGUGCGGGUGGGUUAAAAAAAACAAAGGAAGGAUGGAAUCAGGCUCUCAAGUUAUUGAACUCGAUGUUGAAUCUGAGAGGUUGCAGGGUCCCUCGGUGGAAAAUGAGAUGAGCUAUUUCUGCUGAAGCAUUUUGUCCUCCUCAUCCUUUAUGCAGCAGCUGGUCAUGCUUUGUGUUACUCCUGUACAUCCACUCUGACAUGGCAUAGACUGAGAUAUGCAAAUAAUCCUGAGAAACACAUGCUUGCACAGAGUCCUUGAAGUCAGAACCAAGUUCCACAGCACAAGCUACACUGCUUUCUAAAGACUUCAGCAACUUUAAACCACAUCAACCAUUACAUAAUUGCAGGGUAUAAAUUCAAUAAACAACUAACCUGAAAGCAGUCGAUUAUUCACUUAAUGAGUGCUAUGGUGAGGGGUCCUUUCUACCGCUGAAUACGUGGUCCGUUAUGUGAGGUUAGGAGUGAGCAUUAGUAGGAGUUCUGAGCUCCAAAUGACAACAGUGGCAUCAAACCAGCGUAGCCCAUUUGUCAAUCAAACAUAAGUAGUCAAAUUGCCUCUACCUGCGUGCAUGCUAACAGUGUUGCCUGUUAUUUUCUAAUCAACCAGCUCAGAGUUGUUAUUAUACACUCUGGAUCAGGUGGAACUUAAACCUCGACCUCCUGGCUCCAAAGUAGAGACACUACCAUUGUAUCACAAGAGCCCUCUAACAGUGUCACCAAAAUUAUGCCCUGUAAUGAUAGCACUUGAUUUUUGCAUGUGCUUCCAUUUUAGAGUCAAUCAGCUCUCAUAGCACUGAAAGACCAGGCACAAUGGAGCCAGAUUUUCCAACUUACAUUUUACAUUAAAGUCAACUUUAAGAUUAAUUACUCAAAUCCACUUUCAGUUAACGG